rnacentral:rRNA from 1 species
CCGCGGUAAUACGUAGGGUGCGAGCGUUGUCCGGAAUUAUUGGGCGUAAAGCGUGCGUAGGUGGUUCGUUAAGUCUGAUGUGAAAGCCCUGGGCUCAACCUGGGAAUUGCAUUGGAUACUGGCGGGCUAGAGUGCGGUAGAGGAUGGCGGAAUUCCCGGUGUAGCAGUGAAAUGCGUAGAGAUCGGGAGGAACAUCCGUGGCGAAGGCGGCCAUCUGGACCAGCACUGACACUGAGGCACGAAAGCGUGGGGAGCAAACAGG